rnacentral:rRNA from 1 species
UACAGGGGGUGCAAACGUUGCUCGGAAUUAUUGGGCGUAAAGCGCGCGUAGGCGGCUACUUAAGUCGGAUGUGAAAGCCCUUGGCUCAACUGAGGAAGUGCACCCGAAACUGAGUGGCUUGAGUACUAAAGAGGGUCGCGGAAUUCCCGGUGUAGAGGUGAAAUUCGUAGAUAUCAGGAGGAACACCCGUGGCGAAAGCGGCUCUCUGGGACGGUACUGACGCUGAGACGCGAAAGCGUGGGGGAGCAAACAGG